AGCGAACGCUGGCGGCAGGCCUAACACAUGCAAGUCGAACGAACCCUUCGGGGUUAGUGGCGGACGGGUGAGUAACACGUGGGAACGUGCCUUUAGGUUCGGAAUAACUCAGGGAAACUUGUGCUAAUACCGAAUGUGCCCUUCGGGGGAAAGAUUUAUCGCCUUUAGAGCGGCCCGCGUCUGAUUAGCUAGUUGGUGUGGUAAAGGCUCACCAAGGCUACGAUCAGUAGCUGGUCUGAGAGGAUGACCAGCCACAUUGGGACUGAGACACGGCCUAAACUCCCACGGGAGGCAGCAGUGGGGAAUCUUGCGCAAUGGGCGAAAGCCUGACGCAGCCAUGCCGCGUGGAUGAUGAAGGUCUUAGGAUUGUAAAAUCCUUUCACCGGUGAAGAUAAUGACUGUAGCCGGAGAAGAAGCCCCGGCUAACUUCGUGCCAGCAGCCGCAGUAACAC
rnacentral:rRNA from 1 species